UCCAGACUCCUACGGGAGGCAGCAGUGGGGAAUAUUGCACAAUGGGGGAAACCCUGAUGCAGCGACGCCGCGUGAGCGAUGAAGUAUUUCGGUAUGUAAAGCUCUAUCAGCAGGGAAGAAAAUGACGGUACCUGACUAAGAAGCCCCGGCUAACUACGUGCCAGCAGCCGCGGUAAUACGUAGGGGGCGAGCGUUAUCCGGAUUCACUGGGUGUAAAGGGAGCGUAGACGGCCAUGCAAGCCAGGGGUGAAAGCCCGGGGCCCAACCCCGGGACUGCCCUUGGAACUGCAUGGCUGGAGUGCGGGAGGGGCAGGCGGAAUUCCUGGUGUAGCGGUGAAAUGCGUAGAUAUCAGGAGGAACACCGGCGGCGAAGGCGGCCUGCUGGACCGUGACUGACGUUGAGGCUCGAGAGCGUGGGGAGCAAACAGGAUUAGAUACCCCUGUA
rnacentral:rRNA from 1 species